GCACCUGGCUCCUCUCGCUUCUGCCCUGAGAUCUGGUCCGACGAGAUCUCACCCUAGAAGAGCAGGUCUAGUUUGAGGGUGGGGGAGCUCUUCCCAUUGCAUCAUGAUUAUUAAUCAUCCGUGUCUGUCCUGGUCGCCUGGAUAGCCAAGGACAGGCGUGUGUCUUCAGGCAUCUCUGAUUCACCAAGCUUAGCACAGAGCCUUGUGGCAGCUGGCCCCGGGAAAGGCUGCGGAGGGACCGGGAGGAGUGCUCCGGCCAGGGGAACGGUGGGACAACAGGGCAUUGCCUGGAUGGGGGAGUAGAGGCUCCUUUGUUUUUUGUUGUUCCUUUUUUUUUUCUUUUUUUAAAGAUUUUACUUAUUUAUUCAUGAGAGACACAGAGAGAGGCAGAGACCCAGGCAGAGGGAGAAGCAGGCUCCACGCAGGGAGCCCCAUGCGGGACCCGAUCCCGGGCUUUCAGGGUCACCCCCUGGGCUGCAGGCAGGUGCCAAACCCUGCAUGGGAGCCCGACAUGGGACUCGAUCCCAAGACCCCGGGGUCACGCCCUGGGCCAAAGGCAGAUGCUCAACCGCUGAGCCACCCAGGGGUCCCUGUUGUUGUUCUUUUUGUUGCUAGAGAGAGAGAUGGACAGAGUGUGAGAUGGGAGGAGGGGAGAGGGAGAGGGAGACAGAGAAUCCUUAGCAGGCUCUGGGCCCAGCAUGGAGCCCAGUGUGGGGCUCAAUCUCACGACCCUGAGAUCAUGACCUGAGCUGAAAUCAGGAGUUGGCUGCCUAACCGGCUGAGCCUCUCAAGGGUUUGAGGACAUAUAUUUAUAAAAGAGGGAGGAUUGGGGUUCAACUGACUCCUCUACAGGAGGUAGACUCGAUUCCUAAGAGUUUCCUUGGAGCUUCCCUGGCCUUCCUCGGGAGGGUUGGUUCUACUUUGAAGAAAGAUGGUUUGUUUGGAAUUGGCUCUGGAUGGAGUUGGGGUCCCCUUCCUGCUCAUGUCAGCCCCAAGGUUAUAGCCUCAGUCCCUCGGGUUGGAGUCACAGGAAGGUUCAGAAGGCUUGAAUGCUGCUGCAGCGCGGCAGGAAGCCCGAAGGAAGAGCCUUGGGGGCAGUCCUCGGAGUGACCUGGAGCCCCUCCCUCUGCAGUAACCUGAUCCAAUCACUUCCCUCCGUGGCCUCAGGCCCCUCAGGAGCGGAGUGGACUGGUCGGUCGAGUAAUAGCAAGGCUUCCAGCAUUAGUGCCAUGAAUUGAAGGAGAACAGAGGUUAAGUUCGGGUGUUUUCCUGCAUCCCUACAUCCCAUCCCUAGUGGGACACAAUAGAAGACACCUCUGACCCGGGACUCUGGGGAUCAGGGCUCGUCUCGGGGACCCACUGUGGCCUGGACCCCCCGUCCCCAUCCAGGGUUUAAUGUGGAAGUGCUCUUGGCUAGGCCAGGCAGCCCUUCCACCACCUCAAAGCUCGGAAGCCUCAGUGGGUCCCAAAAUGGGGACCGACACUGAAUCUGAGGGCCAGGUCAGGGCCAGGUAAGGGAGCAUAAGAGGACUCGCCCAAGGUGGAUCUCUCAGCAGGAUGCAGCCAACCUCUUCCCAAGGCACCACCCUGCCCUCCCCUCGAGACUCAGCAGGACGAGCGGGGUCCCUCCUCGGGCCGUGGCCAACUGUGUGCAUGAGAAGCUCCCUUCCCUUCUGCAAGGGGAGCCAUUUACAGGUGUUCCAGCAACCACCCAAUGGAAGGCCCCACUGCUGGCCAGCCUCAGCCGUGACAUCCAGGUGAAGACUCCCCUGGAUCCUCUGGCCGCCCGCUGCCGAGUCACCCCCGUCUUCACGUCUUCCCAGAUGACGAGAUCGGGGACUCAGCAAGACUGGUUGGUCCAAGGCCUGGGACAACCCCAUGAUGCUGGAUUUUCUUCUGGAAUGCUUCGUGGGACCCACCCGGGGAACAGGCUUCCUGCCAAUACAUCUGCACAGAGAGGUGACCAUCGGGGCCAGGGCAGCCGGGAACGGCGCUGUUAGGAUCUCCAGCUGCGUGAGGUCCAGGCUGUGUGCGGGCCCAGCCAUGGCCAGGGGAGCCAGGUGGGCCCAGAGCGGCCUUCAGAGGCUAAGCAUACCUGCACCGGACAUCCGAAGGCGGGGGCCGACCCCAGCGUGGCCGCUCCCGGAGUCCCACCUGUGCUGUUGUUGGUCGGGGCUGCAGCCGGGCACGAACGAGUCACCCCCACCACCUUCUAGGAGUUUGCACAUCACUUGAGAGCUUGUGUAACCUCUCUUGGCUCUACCUUCCUCGUCCGUAAGAUUGAGCAAAUGUGAAAACCUGCAGCACACGGGCGCAGGACCCCCCAUGCAUCCCGGCUGAGACCAGGUGCCCCCUGUCCCCUGCAGACACGGGCUCCGCACCUCCCCUUGUCCGUGCAGCCCAGCAGACCUUCCCGCCUUGGGAGCUCAGGAGCUCUUGGGGUCUUCACCACACCUGGCUGGCAACACCGAAAGGACUAAAAACAAGUGAGCUUCCAGAAUGAAGGGAUUCAGAAGAAGAAGAAGAAAAAAGAUUCAAAUGCAGAGUGUGAUGGAGAGUUUGCAAUGAAGGGAAAACAUUUCUUAUGAAAUGUUUCUCUUCCGAGAAAGGGAGAGGAACGAGCAAGGAUUCAAUUCCGUUCUAAACUCUCCUUUCUUUUUUCCUCCAGAAGCCCCAAUCUCUUGCAGCUCCUUCUGGGGUAGCUUGUCCCCAGCUCCCGGGAUGGGCACUGGUCAGAGGGAGGUCUGGCGGUCGCAUCGGAAGGGCCACAGGUUGGGGUCCCCAUGCCGGAGACUCGCUCACCGGGGCUAAGUCUCCGUUGCUCGGGGCGGCAGGGCUCUUAGCCUCAGCUGUGCUGCGGGGGUCCCCCCGGACCCAGUCCCCUACCACUGCCCCGGGCCCUGCAUCUCCUCAACACCUUUCUCCAGAACGCCGCCUCCCGGGGUCGCUCCGGCUGACCCUUUUGCACAAACGCUCCUUCCGGAUGCCGUAUGUACCCAACGCAAUACAAGUCGGCCACCGAGAAACGAAGUCUUGCCACCUGCACCAACGUGGAUGCAGCUGGAGGGUGUUGUGCUGCGCGAAAGAGGCAGUGGUCAGCCGUGGAAUUCAGGAAGCAAAGCAGCAUCGUAGGAGCAGGGAGGGAAAAACAAAACAGGGCAAAUCGGAGAGGGAGACCACCCGUGGGAGGCUCUCGACUCGAGGACACAG